CCUACGGGGGGCAGCAGUGGGGAAUAUUGCACAAUGGGCGAAAGCCUGAUGCAGCAACGCCGCGUGAAGGAAGAAGGGUUUCGGCUCGUAAACUUCUAUCAACAGGGACGAAAGAAAUGACGGUACCUGAAUAAGAAGCACCGGCUAAAUACGUGCCAGCAGCCGCGGUAAUACGUAGGGGGCAAGCGUUAUCCGGAAUUACUGGGUGUAAAGGGUGAGUAGGCGGCAUGGUAAGCCAGAUGUGAAAGCCUUGGGCUUAACCCGAGGAUUGCAUUUGGAACUAUCAAGCUAGCGUACAGGAGGGGAGAGCGGAGUUCCUGGUGUAGCGGUGAAAUGCAUAGAUAUUAGGAAGAACACCGGUGGCGAAGGCGGCUUUCUGGACUGAAGCUGACGCUGGGGCACGAGAGCGUGGGGAGCGAACAGGCUUAGAUACCCCCAGUC
rnacentral:rRNA from 1 species